GCCUGGUUAGCAUAAUUAGUAAUGCGAUUGUUUUGUAAUCAAUAGACUGUAAGUGCAAGUCUUACACUGGGCU
rfam:Thielaviopsis punctulata NODE_37, whole genome shotgun sequence.